CUGUAGGUUCUAUGAGGGACAUAUCGCCUUGUUUGACCGUCCAGAGAAGAAGCAUAUGGUGAUCUAUGAUGAUGGUGAUGAAGAAACGCUAGAUCUUACAAGCGAACACUGGGAACUGGUUGUAGAGGACAAUGCAUCAGAUCCUAGGAGAGAGAUUGUUUCUGGUCCCAGUGAUUCGUUUGACAUGUAAGCUUCCUUCACCCAACUUAUUCAUUCGUGGAAAGUCAUUAUGAUGAUUUAGAAUGCUGCUUUAAAGUUGACAUGGGGAAACAUUUUGUCCCUAUUGUCUCGAGAUUACGAUAGUGAGAACUGAGGGUGCAACUUUUACAGUUGGCAUCUCAUUGGUUACAACUAUGUCUGACAGAGAGUGAAAUAUUAGCGUCAGAGUUAAAACUUAGAUCAUUGUUACGUGCUGGAUAGCUAUAGAUACAAGAGUGAACCACCUUCAUUUAGCUUUUCCUGUACUUCUUAGCGCCCUUUCAUUUUCCUCUCAGUACAUUGAAUCUAAAUUCAACAAUCCACUUUUAUUGUAGUUGUCUCACAUAGGCAUGGAUUUACCUGCAAGUCUCACUGAAAAUUCACAUCCUUUUAUUUUCCUUUCUUCCUUUUCUUUUUCUUUAGCAAAACUUCUCGAUAGGUUGGAUGUCCAAACUUUAUACAUUUGCCUUCCUUUCCCUAUUUCACUAGUUUGCUUCUCUUGCUGUGCUAUUGGUGUCCUCAU